ensembl:lncRNA
CGUUAAUAUAUUUUAUGUUGCAGUCAGAUUUCUACUUACUUCCCUGUAAAGUUUUAUAAUGUUUUUUAUGUCAUUCCAGAUAAACAGUUUUGAGGAAAGUAGUGUCACUGGGAGCUACAUGGGAAGAGCAGUAAAUAAUUUAGGUGGGUCAUACAUUUUGAUUUUUUCACUCACUUUAAAUCAUCCCUGCUUUAAAGUGCAGCACAUAUUUUAUCACAAAAGUAUUUAUCUGAGAGCCAAAUGAAAUUGUCAACACUUAUACUGCAUGUCACAGGUUUCCUGACAGGACAAGAUGUUACUUCUAUCAUUGUUUGUCCUCUCCCUCUCUCUCUCUCUCUCUGUCUAUCUCUCUCUGUCUUAAUCUCUCUACUGCCUACAUAGACAUUAAACUCGAAUCCUCUAAUGGGCUGCUUAAAAAGAAGCAAUACACCCACAUUUUCUAAAAUAGUAUACUGUUGCUUUAGUUUGAAAAAACUUGCAAAUAGUCGUUUCAUGCUAGAAUCAUUAUGAUUAUGAUGUACUGUCCCACCUUCCUUUUGUUUUCCCUUUCCUCACUUGUAUGUGUAAGAAAUGCCAGGUGUGAUAUGGAUCGACAGCUGCCAGUCAGACAGCAGUGGUUUUCCAGAGGAACUCUCAAACCCCUCCCUCUCUCAGGCGUCACCAGGACCUGAUCUCAUUAAGGAUCUGUCUAGCCUGUCAGGAGGGAGCAAUGACAGCAAGAGACGUGAGAGGCCCGGCUCACUGUUUUUUCACACCUCCCCAUCGUACCUGCUCUCCUCAUCUCAAACCUCUCCUGAUGACAAAUCUGUCCUUUCCUCACCCUGUCCUUCAACAGGGCAUUCACUAGUCUUUGACCCUCACCUAUGUCCUGUCUCAUUGUGUCUCCCAAAAUCUGACCUGCAAUUGUCAGAGAUGGAGAAACCACCAGAUCAGGAACAGUUUCAACCUGCUUCGUUGCGUAUAUUGGUAUGCAAGUACCUUUCUGAGUUACAAAAAGUAACAAACCUCCAAUCUCCUGUCCUCGUCCCUCAUGUCCUCUCUGGUGAGGAUAAGGAUGCCCCAUCCGCCAACCUCUGUACUCUUUCUAAUGACUCUGAAGGCACAGCAUGCUUUCCAAGUUACCCUCUACCUGUCAUAUCACUUUCACCCUCUCCAAAUUGUGAUCAUCCAUUUUCUGCCUUGGAUGCCAUAUCUUCUGCCCAGUCUAACUUGAGUCCAGGGAACACAAGGCUAGAAUGGGCUGAGGUUGCUUCUCAUGAAUACACCAUCUCUGCCUCCUCACGUUUAUCACCUGAUACCACUCCUGAUUUUCAUUAUCCAUCCUCUUCACCAUCUCCCCCACUAUUUCAGUCCCUCUCAUGGAAUACAGAAAACCAUAAAAAAGAGUCACUUAUUUCCAUAUGCCUCUCUGAUCCACCUGCCAAUACACAGGAGAAAGAGGACAAGGGCAAUCCCUUAUCUCCAUCCUGUCACUCUAAAUUUAAAAGUGAGUGUACUGCACUGCCUUGCCUGUCACAUAACUCUUCCAAUCCAAUUUGUCAGUCUGAUUUGUCAUCACAGUCUCAGGAUCCACAUGAUCUUAUAGAUAUAGCCGUUGAAAGAAUUUCAGACCUAACAGAGCAAUCCAUCCCCCAGCAAAACAGAUCAUGUCCUCUUGAUGAUUACAGAGACCCUGCUCCAGACUCACCUGUCCAAGAUGAUAUUCAUGUUAAAAUGGAUCACCUCUCAUUGGAAUCAAAGGAUACCAUUCAGAUGAAUGGAAACGAAAUGGUGGGGGGUGACAGACAUACUGACACUUUGCAGACUCAAAAUGCUCUCGUAUAUAACUCAGAUAGGGAGCCUUCUGCGGGUCUGUCAGAAGGUUCUUGUUCAGUGUCUAAAGAAGUAUGUAACCAAAAAGAAAUAGAUCCACAGGUCCACUCCUGUAGUUUGCAUGAAGUUUUAACUAAAGCUAAAUUGGAAGAGCUAAGAAAAGUCUUUCAAUUGGGAAAUAAUGGGACAGAAAGUGAAUCACUUAGAGGUGCUUUAGCUGUCCAUGAUGACGUUCUAGAGGCACAGAGCAUAACUAAUGUUAAACCAAAUGACCUGAUUGAGAUUGACAGUUUACAUCUGGUAUUUCAAACUUCAGUGGAUGGCUCUGAAGGUGAAAAUGGAGAUCUAGAUGUCAUUUUUCAGCAGCUCGACACUGAAGGGAGAGUCUACUGGGCAGAACCAAUCAAUAUUUCCAGUACAACUCCUGUGCUUGAAGAGUCAUACAGCUUUGAAACUUCAGUUGGCCCUCCUGAAAAUCCACAGUGGCCAAGAGGACCAGAAACUCAAGAUUCAUUUUCAUCCACAGGCAGAGCCUGUCUCCUGUCUCCUAUGCCUUUCUCUUAUUCAUCCUUAUCAACAGUUGACACUGAACAAACCUCAAGAAGUGGAACUUCCUCCUCAGAUACACCCCCCUCCUUCAUUCUAGCCCCCUUUGAAAUCCCAGACCACAAGCCAUCAGGCUGCUCUGUUUCUGUUCAGAUGUCUUCAUCUCCAUCUUCUCAUAUUGUCCAUAGGAAGGAUAUUCCCUAUAUGAGUGAAUCAAAACGCAAUCUUCUUCAUAGUGUUCUACCUUUAGACAAUUCAACCCCUUUCCGUGCUGUCCAGUCAUGGACAGAUCUGCAGAUUCAACGAAACACUGUCACCAAGAAGUUAUCACACUGGGGUCAUCAUACAGCCCCAAACAAAUUUGCUGCAUCCACGGCUGCCUCAGAAACAAUUCGAAGACCUACGUUGAUUUUCUCUUCAUCUUCGUCUUUCCCUCUGCUGUCUUAUGAUGAGCAGUCACAUGACUGUCUCCCUGGGAUGGCUAGAAAUUACAAUGCUAUGUCAAUCUCUGUGGAUAAAGAGCUGUGGCCUGGUGAAGAGGAGGUAGACAGGAGUGAAAAUGAAGACAAGGAGAAGCUUUGGGAAGGCAACCAAGUACCCACCAUGGCAUGCUACUGCACCUGUGACCAUCAGUGUACCUGCUGUACUCAGAAGAGUUACAACAAGCAACACACUCUGGGAAACAUUGCUUACUCUCUGGACGAGUUGGAGGAGAUGAUGCUGUGUCUGCAACAGUUUUUCUCUGUGCUCAGCAACAUGGAGGAGCAGCUCUCUAAAGACCAGUCUGCAGUUUACAGUGUUCUCUCUGACCAGGACAGGGAGAAGGUUCGGGACAUAGAGGAGCUGAGGCGGGCAGUGAAAAAGGAGGCUGCAAAGCUGGAGAUACAGUUGAAUGAACUGUCCCAUCACUAUGAUGAUAGCUUGAAAAUGAAGAUGCACAGACUCUUGGAUGAGCAGUCUCAGCUCUGCUCUCAACUCAGAGUCUUUCUACCUGGAACGGUGCCCGAAAAUAAGACAGUCGCCACUCAGUGCUGUCUGCUGCCCUGGACUACAACGGCUGAUGUGCAGAAUGGCCACGCUUCCUAUUUAACCUGGAACAUGGACUAUGCCAGACAGUCACCUCCUGAAUCAGAGAGCACCUUCAAAGGCAUCAGCUGUUCCCCCACUAAGGCAGACAAGCUAGACAUAGUGGGCAUCCUCCAGAGAGUAAGAACAUCACAUUAUGAUCUGUAG